AUUUCCUAUUUCUUUAGUAGACACUUCCCCAUUUUUACUUGGGUCAUGGUAAUAAUAUAUAUUAAUCAUUUUUUGUCAAUAAUAUACAUUACUUGCAUUGUUUAGAUGAUGUACAUCUCUAGGGUCUGGUUUGAUACAAGAGACUAAGACAGUGCCAUUGGUGUAAGCUUCCUAGUUAAUAUGUGUUUGUAAAUAACAAGAAUGGAUUUUAAAAUUGAUUCUAAAACAGCUAAAUUAUAUCUCAAUACAGUACCUUUCAGCUUGUAAAGCACAUAGACUUUCUUCUCUUAGAAAGAACAAGCGUAUGUAAGUGUAAGGAAAGGGAGGAUGAUUUAGAUUCUCUGAAAUCAAAAGGAGAGGAUUGCAGAAAUCUGGUAUGCCUCACCCUUCUGCCUAUCUCCCUCUCUGAUCUACCCUUUCUAUAUAUACGUGCACAUAGCUACAGGAUUGCAAGCUGAAAUUCUCCCAGGUCUUUUAUAUACAGUAUUAAUAAAAGAUAACCACAGUUCCUCAAGACUUCUUAUUACUGGUAGAUAUGUUUCCUUUACUGGUGUCUAAGAUUACCAGAUGUCUAAGAUUGCAUUCUAGGAGAAGAAUUUUGCUCAAAUAUAUCUAUUACUUGAAGAUGUCCCUAACGCUGCACGUAUUAAUUUGUAAACUACAAACUGAAACUUGCAAAAUAUGAUCAGUCACUCUGUAGCUUGUUAGAUUUUUAUAUUUUAAUACUUAAUGGUCAUUGUUUUGUCAAAUCUUCUUGACGAUAAACCAUAGAUAUUCAUGCUUCAGUUUUCUUUAUGAAUCCUGUCAUUAUCAUCUGCAUAAUUUCUUUUGCAGAUUAGUAUUGGUUUUGUCUUUCAUAAUCCUAUAAGUUAACUGGAAGUCAAAAGUUUUAAUUACUAAAAUAGUAAUUAUUGUAAGCUUCACUCUUAAACAUGUCGGAUUUUAAUAAUAAAGAGCUGUCAUUUCACCUUGACAGUGUGGACUCUACAAGUGGUACCAUCAAACUGAACUCUUGCAGGACCUCCAGAUUCACUUUAAUCCGAAACAUAUAUAUAUUGCAUUGAUUGUUCAACUAUAUAUGCCAGUUCUACAUGCCUGCCAUGAAACUUUUAAUAGAUUACUCAUGAAACUAAUUUAUAGUAUGUAAGUUAUAGUAUUAAAUUCUGCAGGUUUCCUAUCGUGUUUCACCCAUUUACAUACGUAUCUUCCUUUCUUAUCAGCAUGAAAGAGAAAUCUCUACGGUUGAGGAUCCUUUUGAUGCUCCAACAUAUAGUAUCCCACAGAAACCAAUGACAUUUACUGAGGAAGCUUCAUACAGUCUUUAUAUUCUUGCAGGUCUUGGAAUAGCUGCUGACGCAGCCUAUGGUAUUUUCUCGGAGCUUAUAUUUACCCCAAAAGAGUAAGACGUAAUUACAUAUCUAGCAUUUUUAGCUAAUAUUAGUAAAAUCUUCAAAAUUGAGGAUUUCGUCUUUCUUCAUUUGCUGAAUUUAAUACAUGCUUAUAUACACUUCAGUUGGUCCACCUCUCCCCUGCUGCUUUGUUAAGGUUUGUAAAAUUACAUAUGUAAUAUAUAAUUUGAUUUCACCAGUGGUAGUAAGCAUGUCAAUUGAGAGUAUUAGUAGCAGAGUAAUGGUCCUCCUGACUAAACCAUUCCUGCAUUUCACAUUGUAGAAAUGAAUUUAAUGAAGUAUUAAUUGGUAGUGUUGGCGGACAUAAUUCACUGUCUUUGAGGUGUAUUUUAAAAAAAUUUGUAUCAACUUGUGUUAUAGCCAGGGAAUAUAGUACAAAGGUAAGCCUUCUUUUUAAUAACUUUACAAGUCCCAGAAAAAUUAGCUAGGAAUCUCAUUAUUAAAUAUUUCACAUUUUGGCUUCAUUAAAUAGUACGACAUUUUGGCGCUUUUGCAAGUUCAAGUUUUUGUGUUACUCUGUAGAUAUAGUUUAUUAUAAUCUGUUUCUAGCUAUGAUGCACACUAUGAGAAACAAAUUAACAUACUUAAUUUAGUUGUUAGCAUCGCUUUUUAAAUCUAUUCUUCUAGUGUCAUAUUGAUGUCUUAAGUUUAAGUAACAAGUACUAUUGAUCUAUUAGAACUAAAUCUAUUCUUUGUGCAACAUUAUAGUAUAUGGCCAUCUAGUUUGCAGCUUCCACUUCAUAAUAAUUUGUAAUUGUAGCCGAAUAGUAAAACUUUAGAAAUGCAUAUGUAGGACAAUAGCUUCUGAUAGAAAUCACAUAAUUUAUAAUAACGUGGAAUUUAUGAAAAAAAAUAGAUAUUAUUUACUAAGCAAUAACUUCUAUUACAUAUUUUAAGUACUUACACGUAGCACGAAAAAAUUCAAAAUAAUUUGAUUUACCUAAUUCUCAUUUUUAAAAGUUAAUCUUAUUUAUUUAUCAAUAUUUCAUAUUAUAUAUAUAUUUUUUCUGAAGUACAAUAAUUCAUAUUUAUUUAGAUAUAUUUUUUUAUAAAUAUAUAAAUAAAAAAUUAACUAUUAUCACCUAAAUAUAUAUUUUUGGGGCCCUUUUACAGUUGGGGGCCCCAAGCGACCUCUUAACUGGUCUUAGUGUUGAGCUGGGGGUGGAGAUGAAUAUAGUUUUAUUAGUCCUGUUCCUGAUGCUGGAAAUUCACAAAUCCAAUCUUUUUACUAAGUUACUUAAGGUCCCCUGCGUGAAUGCUUUCCUGUUAUAUACUUCAUUUUCUAUUAGAUACCUACUUUCCUGUGUUUGUCCUAUGUAGUUCUAUAUGAGCAAGCAUCAUUGACUGGCUAUUGACCUCAUGCCAACUUUUCAAUUACUUCAUAUUGCAAUUCCUUGAAAAAAAAGUUUGAAGAUAAGAUCACUGAGUUUCAGACUCUGAGGCAAACCAUUCAUCAUGUAUCGAGAGUGAUUGAUACAAGAGCUGACCGGCUACUCCAGUUCCAAAAUCUAAGGUCGAGGAGCUGAACGCAAAUAUUACUUAAAGUGAGCUCAACGCACCGCUUCUGGAACCACUCAUGGCACCACUUCCGGCACCACCGAUUCUUGAAUAUAACUGUUUCUGCGAUUACCUUAGUUACUAUGAAUUUGUCGUACUUAAUUUUGUAGUUAGAUUGUUUUGAUGUUGUGUUUCUUAAAUGGUUUGGAUGAGAUUGUUUUAUGUUGGACUUGCUGGAGGAUGGUUGGAUAUUUGUUGUACUAGAGUUUGGUAUUUGUAGUUUUAGCUGGAUGUUUGGUGGGAAGUUUGGAUGGAUGUUUGUAGGAUUAUUUGUAUUUUUAUUGGGAGUGUUACAAAAACAAUGCAGGCAUUGCAGAAUUUUUCAAAAUAUGUGUUACAAUAGCUCAUUUUAAUGUUACGUUUGAUUACUAUUUGUGGUA